rnacentral:rRNA from 1 species
CUGCUGCCUUCCGUAGGAGUCUGGUCCGUGUCUCAGUACCAGUGUGGGGGGCCUUCCUCUCAGAACCCCUACGCAUCGUCGCCUCGGUGGGCCGUUACCCCGCCGACUAGCUAAUGCGCCGCAUGCCCAUCCGUGGCCGGGAUUGCUCCCUUGGCGGCCUUGGGAUGUCCCUAGGCCGCGUUACGCGGUAUUAGACGGGGUUUCCCCCGCUUAUCCCCCUGCCACGGGCAGGUUGCAUACGUGUUACUCACCCGUGCGCCGGUCGCCGGCAACGG